CGCUAAGUGGCCGAAUAGGUCUAAGUCUUUUAAACUUAUCAUAGUCUCACUCUUAGCGAA
rnacentral:tRNA from 1 species